rnacentral:sRNA from 1 species
AGGGUUACAAAGCAGACCGUUGUCAUGCUAGCAUGAACAACGGCCUGCUUUAGUAACCCGAACAGCCAUGAGGAAGUAGCACGGAAGUGCGGAUUCCGAAUGACUGUAGGAUUGCGGGAGCGAAGCGUAGCAAUCCGU